AAUCAACGCUGGCGGCGUGCCUCAGACAUGCAAGUUGAACGAUUAAAGCUCUCUUCGGAGAGUGCAUAAAGUGGCGCACGGGUGAGUAACACGUAAGUAAUCUACCCUCGAGUGGGGAAUAACGUCCGGAAACGGACGCUAAUACCGCAUAACGCAGCGGCACCGCAAGGUGACAGUUGUUAAAGGAGAAAUUCGCUUGAGGAGGAGCUUGCGGCAGAUUAGCNGUUGGUAAGGUAACGGCUUACCAAGGCUACGAUCUGUAACCGGUCUAAGAGGACGGUCGGUCACACUGACACUGAAUAACGGGUCAGACUCCUACGGGAGGCAGCAGUCGGGAAUUUUCGGGCAAUGGGGGAAACCCUGACCCAGCAACGCCGCGUGAAGGAUGAAGUAUUUCGGUAUGUAAACUUCGAAAGAAUAGGAAGAAUAAAUGACGGUACUAUUUAUAAGGUCCGGCUAACUACGUGCCAGCCGCCG
rnacentral:rRNA from 1 species